AGCGAACGUUUGCGGCGGGCCUAACACAUGCAAGUCGAACGGGUUGGCAACAACCAGUGGCGCACGGGUGCGUAACACGUAGGUAAUCUACCUCUCGGUUCGGGAUAACGUUCUGAAGGGAGCGCUAAUACCGGACGUGCCCCGAAAGGGGGAAAGACCCGCAAGGGUCGCCGAGAGACGAGCCUGCGGCCCAUCAGCUAGUUGGUGAGGUAAGGCUCACCAAGGCGAAGACGGGUAGCUGGUCUGAGAGGAUGAUCAGCCACACUGGAACUGAGACACGGUCCAGACUCCUACGGGAGGCAGCAGUGGGGAAUAUUGCGCAAUGGGCGAAAGCCUGACGCAGCCACGCCGCGUGAGCGAUGAAGGCCUUCGGGUCGUAAAGCUCUGUGGGGAGAGACGAAGAAAGCCUGUGAAGAGCGGGCCUUGACGGUAUCUCCUUAGCAAGCACCGGCUAACUCCGUGCCAGCCGCCGCGGUAAAAC
rnacentral:rRNA from 1 species